rnacentral:lncRNA from 1 species
UAUUCUUAUAUAAUUUUUUAUUUAUUUUUUGUAAUACUUAAAAUAAUAGAUAUAAUAAAUAAAAUAAUUACUUGUAUCUAUGCAAUUGCAAGGAUAAACUUUGAUGAAGAUAUAAAUUAUAUUAUUAUGUUUGAGUUUUUUCUUGUUUUUUUCUUUGACCUGACUCACCAAUAUACAACACUUCUUUCUUUAUCCCACUUUCUUGUGAAUUGUACCUUGUAUUCUUUUAUUUUGAUUGUAAGCAUAUAUAUACUAUGUAUCUAAUUUCUCUCCCUCCU